UCNUGGGAUAACACUGACGUUCAUGCCCGAAAGCGUGGGUAGCAANCAGGAUUAGAUACCCUGGUAGUCCACGCCCUAAACGAUGUCGAUUAGCUGUUGGGCAGCAUGACUGCUUAGUAGCGAAGCUAACGCGUGAAAUCGACCGCCUGGGGAGUACGGUCGCAAGAUUAAAACUCAAAGGAAUUGACGGGGACCAGCACAAGCGGUGGAUGAUGUGGAUUAAUUCGAUGCAACGCGAAGAACCUUACCUGGUCUUGACAUGUACGGAACCCUCCAGAGACGGAGGGGUGCCUUCGGGAGCCGUAACACAGGUGCUGCAUGGCUGUCGUCAGCUCGUGUCGUGAGAUGUUGGGUUAAGUCCCGCAACGAGCGCAACCCUUGUCAUUAGUUGCCAUCAUUAAGUUGGGCACUCUAAUGAGACUGCCGGUGACAAGCCGGAGGAAGGUGGGGAUGACGUCAAGUCCUCAUGGCCCUUAUGACCAGGGCUUCACACGUCAUACAAUGGUCGGUACAGAGGGUAGCCAAGCCGCGAGGUGGAGCCAAUCUCACAAAACCGAUCGUAGUCCGGAUUGCACUCUGCAACUCGAGNGCAUGAAGUCGGAAUCGCUAGUAAUCGCAGGUCAGCAUACUGCGGUGAAUACGUUCCCGGGUCUUGUNC
rnacentral:rRNA from 1 species